GUUGAAAAUGUGGAUGUGGAACCAGUGGAUACAGAGGACCGAAUAAGGGAUCAGAGCAUCUGCAGAUUUUGGUAUCUACAGCGGGUCCUGGAACCAGUCUUCUGUGGAUACCAAGGGAUAAGUGUAAGCUAGCAGGCAUUUGAGAAAUACGGAAGAAAUAGAAAUUAUAAGGCAAUGAAAUUAGGUGGCUAAUGUGAACCUAUUGCUAAGCUUGACUGAUGCCCUGGAAAAAGGUAAGAAAAUCAUUAAAUCAUCAUUAUUAAUCACCAAAUAAAAUCUAAAUGUGAAUUACAGAGAGCCGCCUUGCUAGUAUAACAAAGACUCGUUGUCUGCUUAUGGAGAAUAAUGAAAGUGAGUAUCAGGUUUAUGACCUAAUAAUAAGAGUAGCUGAGUUCCACAGAAGAUUGAACUCUCAACCAUGACAAAUGCGAUGGGGAAAUCUGAGUUGAUGGACUGAAAAUCUUGAAUCUGAAUUCCUUUGAAUCUUCUGAGCCCACAGAAGUAGCCCACUCCUCCCUUUGAAGGUCAGUACAUCCCCUCCAUCCUUGUUUGAGAGACAGAAAAAUAGAGAGAGAGAGAGAGAGAAUCAUAAAACAGAAUACACACCACUCCUCCCACACAAAGAUAAAAAUUAGAGAAACGACUUCAUCAACCAGCAGAAGAGGGUGGCCUCUCCCUGAUACAGUCGUCUCUUCUCUGAACACUAUCCACCAUCUUUCAUGAUCUUUCCCUACCUCACUUGGCUAAUGUGCUAAACCAGCAUCUGCAUUGGAACAAGAUCCCUACGUGAUUCUUAAGUACACUGAAGUUUGACAAGGACUGUACAGGACAAUAUUGGAUUUGCACAGCCAGCAUCUCAGCCGGAAACGACUUUCCCUGGAGGGUUCCCAGCCUCCGAGAGCAGAUAUUCUCAAGGGAAGGAAGUUGAUUCAUGAGAUGACUCCUAGGGAGACUGCCAGAAGGAAAAUCUCUCAGGAAAAAAAAAAGAGAGAGAGACCAACAGAGAGAGAAAGAGAGAGAGUGAUCAAGGUGAUUCGUUAGAUUUAUUUGCUGUGGAUCAUUCGUUUGGUGCCAUUUCUGGGCAAUAUUUAGUCUAAGGAGAGGUAAAGUGAUAGUGAAGUGAGAAGUUUACAAAGCUUGUUAGCUGACUAUCCUGAAAGGGAGUUUGUCUUGAGAUGCUGCAGGGGAAGUAAGUUUGCCUUCAAUAAGCCCUGAGAGUUUGGGUUUAGGGCCUUCUAGGAUCCUCUUCUUGGCAAAAUUUCUAUAGCUGCAUAAUUUGAAGAGUUCUGUGCUGUCUCUUUUUGAAUUACCCAAUAGAUUCUUUAACAGCAUCACAAUUUACUCCUGAAUAGAUAAGAUAACCUCUCUUAUCCUGGCGUGAAUCACGAAAACUAAUAAAAUUUCAUCUGGUUGAGGGAAUCA
rnacentral:lncRNA from 1 species